rnacentral:misc_RNA from 1 species
CGGGGGAAGAAAUAAUUAAGCUUCACUAUUUUGUGCCGGCUUAACUCGUUUCACAAAUGUAAUAAGAUGUUUUUAACUCGUUCCACCGCUGUCAACUGGGGGACUUGUCUCUGCCUUAUCUUCAGAUUCUUCAGGUUUGCUUGCACUUUCCACAUUCUCAAGCUUUGAGACACGAAACUUUGCAAGGUGAAUAUCACCAAUUGUGAGAAUGCUUCCAGGAGGUGCCUUGGCUACAACUCCAGGUCUCAGACGCUUGUCAUCAAUGAAUGUCCCAUUAGUACUAUCCAAAUC